GUAAUGGCAGGUCAGCAUACUGCCGUGAAUACGUUCCCGGGCCUUGUACACACCGCCCGUACACACCAUGAGAGUUGAGGAUACCCGAAGCCUGUGAGCUAACAGUAAUGAAGCAGCAGUCGAAGGUAGAAUCAAUGAUUGGGGUGAAGUCGUAACAAGGUACC
rnacentral:rRNA from 1 species